GCUACAUAGUACAGCGUAGACUUGGUUUUUCCUGUCGAAAAUUGUGACAUGCGUAGUAGUGUUCGCAAAUAUAUAUUAUUGUGCAAGAAUUCUUUGACUUUAGCUCUGCGUUUAUGUGAGGCAAAUGUGAAUUAAGGUGAUGACAUUGGUGCUGGACGAGUACUUCAGUGGCGACAUUGGUGCUAGACAAUUUUCCAGUAGAGAAAGGAACCUGAAUAAACUAACUGGCCCACAGAUAAUGGAAGCAGGAGUGAAAAUAUUGCGGUUUAAUCACCUAUAACGCCAACAAAGUGCCCAUUGAAGCAGUUCUCUCUUCCGCUAACCCCCAUCACUGGAGCUACCCAUCGAGAAAAAAAAAAGGUGUUCCAACAGAUCUUUUAUCAGCAAACUUUCCUUUCUUCAAAGGAGAAUGCAGUAGAACCGAGAUGGGAGAGAAGCCAGUCGGCAAAAGGAACAGAGUUGGAACUUGGAAGAAAACGAGACCCCAAAUGUUUGGAGAGGAGCCAGCUCGACACUUAAAGGAGUGUGCGCUAGACACCAAAUAUUGGGAGAAGAGCAAGUGCCAGAAACUUAGUGGCUGUCAAUUUCCUUCCUACUCCUUUAUGUUCAGAGAGGAGUCAGGAGUCAAACACUUGUUUAAAGGAAGAGUUUGAACAAGAUCGCCAGACGCCUGAAGUAAAUAUUUAAAACAACCUGGUUUACCGGCGUAAUAAAAAGAAAUGAAACAAUUAGUCUGUGGUAAUAUAUUCUUUUUCGUUGGGUCAAAAAUACCAUUCUUAAUGGCUAUAUUUGUUAUAAUAUUUAAUAGAAAUUGUGGGUUACACUCAUAUUACAAUACCACCAAAAUAUUUUAUCCCCUAACCUAAGGUAACAAUGCGAAAUUUACUCUACACCUCCUACCAUUUCUUACACCAACUAAUAAGUUAGCGAACGAUUCGGUGUAAGAUUGUCCUCCCCGCUCUCUCCAUUUGUGUAGGGGAGUACAUUUUUCCUGUAGGUGGUUUGUCUGCGACUUCAUUUCAGUCUCUGGCUUUCCAUUCCAGUGUAAGGGGAGACCCAACACUUUGUACUGGAGUCUUGAAAAGAAGUGUCCUGUCCAAAUGACUUUUCCAUCAGUGUAGGGGGAGUCCUGAAAAUAAAUAAUUGUUUAUUAGUUUAGUAGAUACUUGUAAUGUAUCAUUUCUACUAAUAAAUACAACGUUAUAUUUGCUAUA